AAAUUAUCGUGCAUUGGCCGAAAAGCAUAUAGUGUUGAGUUUUUUGCAGCUAGGAUAAUAAAUUAAUUAAUGCGCGUAUUUAAUGUGCAGCAGUACACAACAAUCACGUGAAGAUAACACAAAAUACACGCAACAACGACAGCUUAAGCUCGUGCCGUGUAAGACAUGUUGACGCACAAAACUUGCCAGGCCAGAAAAAAAAUGCAGGUUUCCUUUGUGAUACGAGACGCGGAGGAGAAACAGCAUCGGAAUGGCGUUAACGCUCUGCAAUUGGAUAGCAACAAUGGCAAGUUGUAUUCGGCGGGUCGAGAUGCCAUUAUACGGGUCUGGAACACACGCACGGAAUCCAACGAUAAGUAUAUACAAUCUAUGGAGCAUCACAACGACUGGGUCAACGACAUUGUGCUCUGCUGUAACGGCAGAAAUUUGAUCAGCGCCAGCUGUGAUACCACUGUGAAGGUGUGGAAUGCACACAAAGGCUUUUGCAUGUCCACACUGCGCACGCAUCGCGAUUAUGUGCAGGCGCUGGCAUAUGCCAAGGAUCGGGAACAAGUUGCCAGUGCAGGCCUGGAUAAGGCCAUAUUUUUGUGGGAUGUGAAUACGCUAACAGCUUUAACUGCCAGCAACAAUACCGUUACAACCUCUAGUCUGACAGGCUCGAAGGACUCAAUAUACAGCCUGGCCAUGAAUCCCUCCGGAACCGUUAUUGUCAGCGGGUCCACGGAGAACAUAUUGCGCAUAUGGGAUCCGCGAACUUGCAUGCGCAGCAUGAAGCUGCGCGGCCACACAGAGAACGUACGCUGCCUCGUUGUAUCACCGGAUGGCAAUCAGGUUGUCUCCGGCAGCUCUGAUGGCACAAUCAAGGUGUGGAACUUGGGCCAACAGCGUUGCAUACAAACGAUACACGUCCACAAGGAGGGCGUGUGGUCGUUGCUUAUGAGCGAGAAUUUCCAGUACAUUAUUUCGGGCAGCAGAGAUCGAAAUAUAAUUGUAACGGAAAUGCGCAAUCCCAGCAACAAGAUGCUUGUAUGUGAGGAGAAGGCGCCAGUGCUCAGUUUGGGCUAUAAUAUCGAUAAAACAGGUGUAUGGGCAACUACUUGGAAUUCGGAUAUACGUUGCUGGAAGCUGCCCAUGUAUGACAGAUGCACGCUCAGCUCUGGGGGCAUGGAUGCACAGUGGACAAUGGGUGGCACAGAGCUGGCGUGCAUUAAAGGUGGAGCGGCGAUCAAGGAAUGCACGGUGCUAAACGAUAAACGCUAUAUCAUAACAAAAGACUCACAGGAUCAGGUUGUGGUCUAUGACGUGCUACGUGUGAUCAAAAAAGAAGAACUGGGUCCCGUCGACUACGAAGAGGAAGUGAAGAAGCGUAACAAACAAGUCUACAUUCCAAAUUGGUUUACUGUUGAUUUAAAAACCGGCAUGCCAACGAUAGUUUUAGGUCAAGAGGAGGUUGAUUGCUUUGCGGCUUGGGUAUCCAUAGAAGCCGGCCUACCUGAAUGUGAUGAUCCAACAACAGAGAUCAAAAUCAAUUAUGGAAAGCUUCUUUUGGAGGCACUGCUAGAGUAUUGGACUCCGCCCCACAGUAUGCCGCCAAAUGAAAUGGAGCCCGACGUGCGCGGCAAUGGCUAUUUUCAAGUGCCCAAACACACACCUGUCAUAUUUAGUGAGGUGGGUGGACGCACCGUGUGUCGACUGCUGGUGCGCGAUGCUGCGGGCGACAGUGAGAGCACACUGCUCCAUGAGACGGCGCCGCAAUGGGUGACGGACGUUGUGAUCGAAAGAAAUAUACCCAAAUUCCUAAAAAUACCGUUCUUCCUGCAGCCACAUCCACAAAUGACCAAGCCCGAGCGCACCAAAAAGGAUCGCCUGGUGGCCAACGAGUUUAUACAGUGUCGCAAGGUAUGCGAGCAUGUGCUGGAGAAGGUGCUUAAUGCAGAGACAACGCCUAGCGGCGGCAAUGCUAAUAACUCAUUACAAAAUAGUCAAAGCGAUGCCAAUUCGGAGGGAUCUCAGCUGCCAGCGGAGGAGCGCAUAGAGUUGUGGUGCAACGAUGUGAUCGUUGAUCCGAAUAUGGAUCUGCGUACAGUGCGUCAUUUUAUAUGGAAGCAAUCGACUGAUUUAACAUUUCAAUAUAAAACAAAGCAGAACUUUAACUUUGAUGGUAAAUAAUACAACAUUUGCAAACACAACAACACAAAAUUCAUACACACACACACAAACACACAGUUCAAUCGGUGAUAGCUUGGAGCGCGUGACUCGCAAGUAUUGAGUGCGGUUCAGCUACCAGAGUAUUGUGCUUUACCUAAGGCGUUGCUUUCCACAGACGCAUGUGAUUUCAAUAUUUUAUGUUUCUUUGUUAUUUAAUGGGCUAAAAUUGAUCAAACACAUUUGUUUUUUGUAUGUACUUUUCGACUUUUUUAUUCUAUCAAUUCAUUUAACAACAUUCAAUUUGGAUUUGUCCAAAACACUUACACUAAAUGCACGCAAA